AAAUGCACAUAUUGUGAGCUCGAUGAGUAGGGCGGGACACGUGGUAUCCUGUCUGAAUAUGGGGGGACCAUCCUCCAAGGCUAAAUACUCCUGACUGACCGAUAGUGAACCAGUACCGUGAGGGAAAGGCGAAAAGAACCCCGGCGAGGGGAGUGAAAAAGAACCUGAAACCGUGUACGUACAAGCAGUGGGAGCCUCUUUUAUGGGGUGACUGCGUACCUUUUGUAUAAUGGGUCAGCGACUUAUAUUCUGUAGCAAGGUUAACCGAAUAGGGGAGCCGAAGGGAAACCGAGUCUUAACUGGGCGUUAAGUUGCAGGGUAUAGACCCGAAACCCGGUGAUCUAGCCAUGGGCAGGUUGAAGGUUGGGUAACACUAACUGGAGGACCGAACCGACUAAUGUUGAAAAAUUAGCGGAUGACUUGUGGCUGGGGGUGAAAGGCCAAUCAAACCGGGAGAUAGCUGGUUCUCCCCGAAAGCUAUUUAGGUAGCGCCUCGUGAAUUCAUCUCCGGGGGUAGAGCACUGUUUCGGCAAGGGGGUCAUCCCGACUUACCAACCCGAUGCAAACUGCGAAUACCGGAGAAUGUUAUCACGGGAGACACACGGCGGGUGCUAACGUCCGUCGUGAAGAGGGAAACAACCCAGACCGCCAGCUAAGGUCCCAAAGUCAUGGUUAAGUGGGAAACGAUGUGGGAAGGCCCAGACAGCCAGGAUGUUGGCUUAGAAGCAGCCAUCAUUUAAAGAAAGCGUAAUAGCUCACUGGUCGAGUCGGCCUGCGCGGAAGAUGUAACGGGGCUAAACCAUGCACCGAAGCUGCGGCAGCGACACUAUGUGUUGUUGGGUAGGGGAGCGUUCUGUAAGCCUGUGAAGGUGUGCUGUGAGGCAUGCUGGAGGUAUCAGAAGUGCGAAUGCUGACAUAAGUAACGAUAAAGCGGGUGAAAAGCCCGCUCGCCGGAAGACCAAGGGUUCCUGUCCAACGUUAAUCGGGGCAGGGUGAGUCGACCCCUAAGGCGAGGCCGAAAGGCGUAGUCGAUGGGAAACAGGUUAAUAUUCCUGUACUUGGUGUUACUGCGAAGGGGGGACGGAGAAGGCUAUGUUGGCCGGGCGACGGUUGUCCCGGUUUAAGCGUGUAGGCUGG
rnacentral:rRNA from 1 species